rnacentral:rRNA from 1 species
GAUGAACGCUGGCGGCGUGCCUAAUACAUGCAAGUCGAGCGAAUGGAUUAAGAGCUUGCUCUUAUGAAGUUAGCGGCGGACGGGUGAGUAACACGUGGGUAACCUGCCCAUAAGACUGGGAUAACUCCGGGAAACCGGGGCUAAUACCGGAUAACAUUUUGAACCGCAUGGUUCGAAAUUGAAAGGCGGCUUCGGCUGUCACUUAUGGAUGGACCCGCGUCGCAUUAGCUAGUUGGUGAGGUAACGGCUCACCAAGGCAACGAUGCGUAGCCGACCUGAGGGGGUGACCGGCCACACUGGGACUGAGACACGGCCCAGACUCCUACGGGAGGCAGCGGUAGGGAAUCUUCCGCAAUGGACGAAAGUCUGACGGAGCAACGCCGCGUGAGUGAUGAAGGCUUUCGGGUCGUAAAACUCUGUUGUUAGGGAAGAACAAGUGCUAGUUGAAUAAGCUGGCACCUUGACGGUACCUAACCAGAAAGCCACGGCUAACUACGUGCCAGCCGCCGCCGUAA